GGAACAGUGAUUCUUGACGCUUUUCAUGUGAAUUAAAAUCCAGUGUCCAUUGUGUUGCAUUUGAUCUUAUUCAUUGUUCUACGUGCACCCUUUGUGAGAAACACUGACUUUUCUUUGGUUAAAUUAUGAGUAACAUUUUCCAUUGUGUAACUAUGGUGAUAAAUUUAGUGACUGUUCUUUUCCAAGCCAGCUGAAACGUACCGAAAUCCAGGUAGUCUGUAAAAGGGGCUUCAAAAUCAUACUGACAGGCAGACAUUUGGAAAAGCGUCUAUGCACCUCUGGUACAAACUGAACGCCUCGUACAUCAAAUGGUGCCUUCUCUGAAGGGUGCUUUGGUGUGAAGGAGCUGGCCUCACAGUUCAGUACACUACUGAAAUAUCCGAGUCGGAACAGUGUGGAUGGGCGCUGCUUUUUUUAUUGUAUUAUCGCAAUAUGUUUUUCUUUUGUUGGACAACCUUUCAUUUUAGUCAAAGUGUUCGAUGGAAAAAAGUGUAAAUGAAUGUGCAAAGCCAAAGAUCAGAAUACAGUUUUUUUAAAAGAAAACAACACUCCGAAUAGAGCACAGUUACUGCAGAACGCCGAUCGAUUUCUGGAAUUACGAUCAGUGUUCAUGCAAAAUCCAAUUUCUUCUGGCAAAAUGAAAAGCUCUUCGCUGUGUUAAAUUGAAGGGAUUGGUGCCCGUGAGCGCAGGGAGACGGCGGGCGGGAGUUGCUGAGAUGUGAAAUCAGCAGCUCAGAGCUAGCGGAAUCCCUGGCUUUUUUUUUUCAAACACUCACUCGGAGAGCCGGAUGGGAACUGAAGACAUUCAUUACAAGACGUGUCGUGUUGCGUAGGGUUUUUAUACAGUUCGGUUUCGCCUCUUGGCUCACUGGUGGUGAGGAAUUGCAAAGGCAUUAGACGGGUCCUUGGAGAGCGGCUUCUUUUCAUCAAUGGAUACUUUCCAGCCGACUUAGACCGUGGGUCGUUCCAACAAUCCGUGGGCGAUCCCACUGGCGCUUGCUCAAAAGCAAGCAGCGACAAGCUUGUGGAAUUUCAGAUGCAAAGCUCAACGUGAAAAUUGCACGAUCAGCGAGCUGGAAGCUAUUUACAAUGACCGUGCAUCGCAAUCUCCAGCUACAACCCCUGUCUCAAGGAAUGUUUGCUUUUGAAUCCGGUAAUUGAUGACUACUCCUAUUUCUGGCUCUUGGAUCUAUUUCAGUGGCAACAAAAGGGCUAAUAACCUUUUUGUUCAGGAAGCAGAUAACCAGUUUCCCUAUCUCAGGAGAAUUUCUACUCAUUGAUGCAAAACAGAAAUACAACAAUAAACUAAAAGAACUGCAAUAAACACUUCACAAAGACGUUUGCUAAGUUUAAAAAUUCACAAAUGGAAACCACAAACCUCAACAAUGUGUACAGCUUUAUAAAAUAUGCAGCAAGAAAUAAGUACACGUACUUCAACUCCACAGAUGAUGUUUGACAUGCUUUAUGAGAGAUUCCUGUCUGCCUUGCGUUUUGGAAGAGGUUUCCAAAUAAUUGCAUAGUCAACAGUGAACAGCACAACUACUUCAAGAUAGUAUUUUUCUGGCAAUCUGAUGUCAGAAAUGAUUAUUCAGUAGGACAUGGCGCGUAAAAGAAACCUCUAUUUUUGGUCUGAACAUUUGUCUUUACUUUUAUUUCUGUCUAGCUUUCACUGGCUUGACCCAGUUAUUGGAAAGCCGAAGGCAACUUCACGUCCUCAUGUAAAUUCCAUAAGAAUUGAUGGGGACAUUGCUCUGGGGGGACUUUUUCCCGUGCAUUCUCGGGGUGGGUCUGGUGCUAACUGUGGAGAACUGAAAAAAGAGAAAGGAAUACACAGGCUGGAAGCAAUGCUAUUUGCCUUAGAUAGGAUCAACAAUGAUCAAGAACUACUUCCCAAUAUCACGCUUGGAGCUCGGAUCCUAGACACCUGUUCCAGAGACACCCAUGCCUUGGAGCAAUCAUUGACAUUUGUGCAAGCUCUGAUUGAGAAAGACAGCACUGAUGUAAAGUGCAUGAGCGGAGGACCACCAAUCAUUACUAAGCCAGAACGAGUGGUGGCGGUUAUCGGUGCUUCAGCAAGUUCCGUAUCCAUAAUGGUUGCCAACAUUUUACGUCUCUUUAAGAUUCCUCAGAUAAGCUAUGCAUCUACCGCCCCAGAGCUGAGUGAUAACAGCAGGUAUGACUUUUUCUCUCGUGUGGUCCCAUCCGACACCUUUCAAACACAGGCCAUGGUUGACAUUGUCAAAGCAUUACGUUGGAAUUAUGUCUCUACCCUUGCAUCUGAAGGAAGCUAUGGAGAAAGUGGAGUGGAAGCCUUCAUACAGAAAUCUCGGGAAGACGGGGGAGUCUGUGUGGCCCAGUCAUUGAAGAUUCCACGAGAUCCCAAACGAGCAGAAUUUGAUAAAAUUAUCAAGCGUCUAUUGGAAACUCCCAACGCACGCGGAGUCAUUAUAUUUGCGAAUGAAGAUGACAUUAGACGGGUGCUGGAAGCGACAAAACGGGCCAAUCAGACAGGCCACUUCUUAUGGGUUGGAUCUGACAGUUGGGGGUCCAAAGUGACACCAGUACUACAACAGGAGGAUGUAGCUGUGGGAGCUGUCACUAUCCUUCCAAGGAGAGUUUCAGUCCAAGGAUUUGAUAGAUACUUCAAGAGUCGGACCCUGGAGAAUAACAGAAGGAACAUUUGGUUUGCAGAGUUUUGGGAAGCGAAUUUCAAGUGUAAGCUGAGUCGACACGGAUUUAAACGAGGGAGUCAUGUUAAAAAAUGUACAGGCUUGGAGAGAAUUGGGCGAAAUAAUUCUUAUGAGCAAGAAGGAAAAGUACUGUUUGUUAUUGAUGCAGUUUAUGCCAUGGCACAUGCUCUACACAACAUGCACAAAGAUCUCUGUCGAGGACAUGUUGGACUUUGUUCCAAAAUGGACCCUAUAGAUGGCAAGGUCCUCCUUGAAUAUAUCCGUAAAGUCAACUUCUCUGGAAGUGCAGGGGUCCCUGUGACCUUCAAUGAAAAUGGUGAUGCUCCUGGACAUUAUGACAUUUAUCAAUACCAAGUUAAGAACAAUGCUACACGUGCAUACUCAGUCAUUGGAGAAUGGGCGAACAAACUUCGUUUAAAUAUCCACACGAUGCAAUGGCAAUCUGGAUCUCGUCAGGUUCCGGUAUCAAUCUGUAGCCUUCCUUGCAAACCAGGAGAAAGAAAAAAAAUUGUGAAGGGCAUUCCUUGUUGCUGGCAUUGUGAACUCUGUGAUGGCUACCAAUACCAGGUGGAUAAAUAUAACUGCAAGAUCUGCCACUUCGACAUGCGUCCUAAUGAAAACCACACAGGAUGUCGCCCAAUUCCCAUAGUCAAGUUAGAAUGGUAUUCACCUUGGGCUGUUGCACCUGUAUUCUUUGCAAUUAUUGGUAUCAUUGCUACACUAUUUGUUGUCAUAACGUUUAUACGUUAUAAUGACACACCAAUAGUAAAAGCAUCUGGACGAGAAUUAAGUUAUGUGCUUCUCACAGGAAUUUUCCUCUGUUACGCUAUUACCUUCCUUAUGAUAGCAGAGCCCGAUGUUGCCAUCUGCUCCAUGCGACGGAUCUUCCUUGGAUUGGGUAUGAGUAUCAGCUAUGCGGCCUUACUCACCAAGACGAACAGGAUAUAUCGGAUAUUCGAGCAAGGCAAAAAAUCCGUCAGUGCCCCCAGGUUUAUCAGUCCAGCCUCCCAGCUCAUGAUAACUUUCAGUUUUAUCUCUGUGCAACUACUGGGUGUGUGUAUCUGGUUUAUUGCUGACCCACCCCACUCCUACAUAGACUACGAUGACCAAAAGACUGCCAACCCUCAGUUUGCUCGUGGAAUUCUCAAAUGUGAUAUUUCUGAUCUGUCUCUCAUCUGUUUACUUGGAUACAGCAUGCUCCUCAUGGUCACAUGCACCGUCUAUGCCAUCAAAACCAGAGGGGUUCCAGAGACCUUCAAUGAGGCCAAACCUAUUGGAUUUACCAUGUACACCACCUGCAUUGUCUGGUUAGCCUUCAUUCCAAUAUUUUUCGGCACUGCACAGUCUGCAGAAAAAGUAAAUGUAUAUUCAAACUACCACUCUGACAAUUUCCAUAAAUCUGAGUGCUUCUGUGUCGCUUGGCAUGCUGUAUAUGCCCAAGGUUUAUGUCAUCCUGUUCCACCCAGAACAGAAUGUGCAGAGACGCAAGCGCAGCCUAAAAGCUGUAGUGACAGCGGCCGCAAUGUCCAACAAGUUUACCCAGAAAGGAAAUCUCCGACCCAAUGGCGAAGCCAAAACUGAACUAUGUGAAAGUCUUGAAACCCAAGUACCUUGAGGAUUCUAAUUGCAAACCAUCCAGUCCAGCAUUAGCUACUAAGCAAACAUACGUCAGCUACAGUAAUCAUGCAAUCUGAGUGAAUGUGACACUCCUGAAGGGUCUUUUGAAAUUUGGAACAGAAGAACAAUCUGAAAGACAGACAUUUCAUUAGUCUGGAUGUCCACCUACAAAACCAAGAAGGGCCAUUUCAAAGUUCUUACAACACCGGUAGUAAAACAAUCGUAUCUAAGCAUAACCUUCAAUAGGAGACCCAAAAGAUCAAGAUGACAAACUGCACGGAAGGAGGAUGACAAUUCCUGAAUCGUUGAUUCUUUGAUGAUUUGUCAACAAAAUUAACUCCCUUUAAAUCUUGUGAAGUUGUCUGUGAUUGUGUCAGAGUUGUUUUUAUUUCUAUUGAUUUUGAACUUACUAAUGUGUUGCAAAAUAAAAUAUGUUAAGUGCUCACCAAAUAGAUGGCAAGUUAAUGUAUGUGACAAACUGACUGGGAAAAAAAAUGUCUGCUUUAUGUCCUGACCAAUCAAAAGUACAGUGCCUGGUUGUUUAUGAAUACUUAAUGGAAAGUGUAGAGCAUGUUCAUUUUUAUACAAAAAAAUUUCUAAUAAAAUAGUGUUUUGCAA